CUGGAGUAAUGAUGCUGAAAAUUCAACUUUGAUCACAGGAAUAACUUACUUUUAAAAAUAGAUUAAAAUAGAAAACAGUUAAUAGUAAAACUGUUUUAGAAUAUUAUUAUUUUACUUUAUUUUUUCCAUCAAAUGCUGCCUUGGUAAGUAGAAGAGACUGCUUUCAAAAGUGAAAAUGCAACUUCUAACAAUGUAAUUCAACCUUUCAGAUGCCAGAGGAGGAUGAUGAUGGCAGUGGUGACCGAGGUGACUGCAGCUCAGGAUGAAGAAGAGGAGGAACAUUUUGUAAAAAUCCAAAGUGAAUAUAUAGAGACCAUCCUCCUAUCCUUGCCUCAGAAGAACCUGAGAAAGACCCUUUUCCUCUUCUCUCACAGCUCUCCAUCAUCUACCUCUACAACACUGUUGGCAAGAGUGUUAUACACAGAUGAGGACACGGUAAUGAGAGAUCUCAAAUUCUUCCUGAGAAAGUCCGCAUGUUCAUUUUCUUGAACAAAAACUGUACAUGCAUUUUUGGGUGGGCCAAACUAUUAUUUGAAGAAAUGCUAAAAAUCUCUAUAUUGUUCUUUAUACAUAUCUUACUCUUUAUGAAUGUCAUAUUCUGGAUUUUUUUUUAGCUUUUGAGAAGCUCAAGGACUGUAUAUCUUUGGUAAUUGUGAUAUUGUCUGGCAUGUAAAGCAGUAUUAAAGCACAUUACCUCAGUAUAUUUGUAGCAGCUGCCUCAUACAGGACACUUAGGAAAUGGUUUAAUAUAUAUUUUUUGCAAAUAAAGUAAUAAAAUAUCUGCUGAAUCUUUUUCA